GAUGAACGCUAGCGGCAGGCCUAAUACAUGCAAGUCGAACGAGAUUACGAGGCUUGCUUCUUAUGAAAGUGGCGCACGGGUGCGUAACGCGUAUGCAACCUACCUUAAUCAGGGGGAUAGCCCGAAGAAAUUCGGAUUAAGACCGCAUAAAAACACAGGAUAGCAUUAUCCAAUGUUCAAAUAUUUAUAGGAUUAAGAUGGGCAUGCGUGUCAUUAGCUAGUUGGCGGGGUAACGGCCCACCAAGGCGACGAUGACUAGGGGAUCUGAGAGGAUGACCCCCCAACCUGGUACUGAGACACCGCCCAGACGCCUGCGUGAGGCAGCAGUCAGGAAUAUUGGUCAAUGGCGGGACCUCUGAACCAGCCAUGCCGCGUGCAGGCCUCCAGCCCUCUGGGUCGUAAACUGCUUUUAUUCGGGCCUACCCCUUUCUACGUGUAGGAAGCUGAAUGUACCGAAGGAAUAAGGAUCGGCUAACUCCGUG
rnacentral:rRNA from 1 species